GACGUAGGGGGCGAGCGUUGUCCGGAUUCAUUGGGCGUAAAGCGCGCGCAGGCGGCCCGGUAAGUCGGAUGUGAAAUCCCACGGCUCAACCGUGGAACUGCAUUCGAUACUGUCGGGCUAGAGGCAGGUAGGGGAGAUCGGAAUUCCUGGUGUAGCGGUGAAAUUCGUAGAUAUCGGGAGGAAUACCAGUGGCGAAGGCGGCUACCUGGACCAGCACUGACACUGAGGCACGAAAGCGUGGGGAGCAAACAGG
rnacentral:rRNA from 1 species